rnacentral:rRNA from 1 species
GCGCAACCCCUACUUGCUAGUUACCAUCAUUAAGUUGGGGACUCUAGCGAGACUGCCAGUGAUAAACUGGAGGAAGGUGGGGAGUGACGUCAAAUCAUCAUGCCCCUUAUGACCUGGGCUACAAACGUGAUACAAUGGCUGGAACAAAGGGAUGCGAAGCAGUGAUGUGGAGCGAAACCCAUAAAAACAGUCUCAGUUCGGAUUGAAGUCUGCAACUCGACUUCAUGAAGUCGGAAUCGCUAGUAAUCGCGGAUCAGAACGCCGCGGUGAAUACGUUCUCGGGGUUU